UAUGGCCAUAUGAGUUUGAGAAAUUUUUGUUCUGAACUGUGUAAACUAGAAAAAGAUUAGAUGUUAAUACUUGGAAGAUUUUUAAAAUGUUUGUUAGUGUUUCUUUGCUGUAUGAUCACAUCAAAUUCUAAGUAUAGAAAACUUUUUGUUUUGAUCUGUUUUUGUUGAUAACAGCUGUAAUGAGAUAUAAUUCACAUACCAUAAAAUUUAUCCUUAAAAGUAUACAACUCAGUGGUUUUUAGUAUAAUCAGAGUUUUGCAACUAUUACUAGUAUCUACUUUUAUUUUAUUUAUUUAUUUAUUUAUUUAUUUAUUUAUUUUUUGAGACAGAGGCUUGCUCUUGUUUCCCAGGCUGGAGUGCAUGGUGCAAUCUCGGCUCACCGCAACCUCCGCCUCCUGGGUUCAAGUGAUUCUCCUGUCUCACCCUCCCAAGUAGCUGGGAUUACAGGCAUGCGCCACCAUGCCCGGCUAAUUUUGUAUUUUUAGUAGAGAUGGGGUUUCUCCAUAUUGGUCAGGCUGGUCUCAAACUCCCGACCUCAGGUGAUCCGCCUGCCUCAGCCUCCCAAAGUGCUGAGAUUACAGGCAUGAGCCACCGCACCUGGCUACUAGUAUCUAAUUUUAUAACUCCAUUACUCUGAAAAGAAACUCCAUACUCAUUAGUAAUCACUCCCUGUUUCUCCCUUUCCACAACCUGUAAUCUAUUUUCUGUCUCUAUGGAUUGGCCUGUUCUGGACAUUUCAUAUAAAUGGAAUCAUAUAUGACCUUUUGUGUCUGGCCUGUUUCACUUAGCAGACUGUUUUCAAGGCUCAUCCAUGUUGUAGCAUGUAUCAGAACUUCAUUACAUUUCAAGGCUGAAUAUUCCAUUUUAUGAAUAGAGACAACUUAGGACCGUUUAUCCAUUCAACACUUGGUAGACAUUUGGAUUGUUUCCACUUUUUGGCUAUUAUUAAUAAUGCUGCUGUGAACAUUUGAAAGUUUUUAAUGUGGACAUAUGUUUUCACCUCUCUUGUAAAUAUGCCUAGGAGUGGAAUUAGCGUAGACUCUUUAGUUGAUAAGGCAAGGAAUGAAAUGAUGUGAGAACUAAAGGUUCUCAUUUGGGGGAUUUGGGAUGUUCCCUUCUGUGUUAGUUCCGUAAGAUGGAAAUUCUUUGCUCUGGACCUCACAGAGCACUGUACCUCCCUGAGGUGCUUAGGACAUCAGAGAAAUUAACAGAAAAGCUAGAGCCUCCAAUCAGAAAAGAUCACAAACAACAGAAAUGCCCCCACAUAAUAAAGAGUGCUUGUAUUAGGAUAGAGUAGCAAAAUCACCACCACAUCACAGUGGUUUAUUCUGACCAAAGCAUUUAUUUUCAUUCCAUUUACAUAGGAGGUGGCAUUGUAGAAAAUAAAAACUUUCUCAAAGAGAUACGAAUUAAAGAAAAGUUAGAGUAAGGUGAAUGCUUAUUUAAACAUACCUUUAGAGUGAGGGUAAGCCCCCUUCCCAACCCAAAAUGAACUGAAUGAGAGGGAGAGAAAAAGAGGUCCAGAGCAGUUUGUGGAGUGAUGUUUCCAUCUCUAAUGCCACUCAGCUCAGGAGCAGGCUUCAGACACUGCCUUUAUCUUUACAGAAAGCCAUGGGAAGGGAAAUGUCUGAGGUAGAGCUCAGCGUUGGGCAUCAUAUGCCUAGUCACUCAGAGGUCACUAAUCACUCUCCCUUUUCUUGUUUUUCAGUGAACGAGAUAAUUGGGAGAGACAUGUCCCAGAUUUCUGUUUCCCAAGGAGCAGGGGUGAGCAGGCAGGCUCCCCUCCUGAGUCCUGAGUCCCUGGAUUUAGGAAGAUCUGACGGGCUCUAACAGUGCUCACUGCAGCCUUGUGUCCACCACCAACUUCUCAGCAUGUUUCUCUCCUUGGACCUUGGGUUUCCAACUCUGCAGCCUUCAGGUCUGGAGCCGGGAGUGGGACCCACCAUUUGUGGGGAAAGUAGCAUUCCUCCACCUCAGGCCUUGGGUAGAUUUGGCAAAAGAACAGGAGCAGCAUAGGCUGUUUGAGCUUUGGGGAAAUGAACUUUGCUUUUUAUAUUUAACUAGGAUACUUUUAUAUGAUGGGUGCUUUGAGUGUGAAUGCAGCAGGCUCUCUUGUUUCCGAGGUGCUGCUUUUGCAGGUGACCUGGUUACUUAGCUAGGAUUGGUGAUUUGUACUGCUUUAUGGUCAUUUGAAGGGCCCUUUAGUUUUUAUGAUAAUUUUUAAAAUAGGAACUUUUGAUAAGACCUUCCAGAAGCAAAAAAAAAAAAAAAAAAAAAGAAAAGAAAGAAAAAGAAAAAAAUAUCCCAAGCCCACACCUAUGCCUCAGAAAGUCAGCAUGUGUCCUGAAGACUUUCAUAGAUUUAUAGGAAAUAAAGCCAAAUGUAGCUCAUACCUCUUUAUAAAACUAAACUUUUGUUAAAUAAAAUGAGAAGAGACCAUUCCAUCAUUGAAGUGUUGGAAUAUAAAAAGACAUUCCAGAGCAUAGCCUUUUGGUAACUUUCUAGGUAAUCUUGCAAUCUCUCCAUACUGGCUCCAUGUUGAAAUUGCUUUUUCCCUCAGGACCUUGGGUAAGAUGGCUACAUUUAAGGUGACUCUGAAUGGUGGGGUUGUAGCUUGGUCACUAUUUCUUGCCAUCAUAAAAACUAGUAGGCUGUGGAGUGCUCUUCCUGUUUGUGUCAUCUGGUCCUAGAACCUUUUCCAAACAGAAGCAUCUGCCUUUGGCUGUUCUGUGACCUUUGAAGCCAGUCUCACAGUGGUUUAGGCAGCUUUGCAGUUCUAACUCUUCUCUAGAGGCCAGGCUGUGUGCAGAGCUAAAGCACAAAUGAGCAGUACAUCAGCAUGGGCAGAGAAAAUACAAGACUCCAGAUGGGAAGGUUUUAAGAGUCACACUGGCAUGGAAGGCUUAUCUGCCAUUCUUUUUAUAGCCUGAAAUGAUUCUGGCCUACCCUGUCCUGUCUGUAUGAUCUAAAAACCAGCCUUUUCCCCAGAAGGCUCUGAGCACAUCCAGAAAUGAUAACCUGACCCUCCACACCAAAGACACCCUGGUGCUGCUGCUGGUGAGACUGGUGUCCAA
rnacentral:sRNA from 1 species